AACAGACGGGUAGAGAAAAAAAGUACACUCGCCUCAAGCCAAAGUUCGAUUUCUUCCCGCCGUGACACGGCCCACUUUCCUCUCCUGGUGUUUCAUCUCUCCUCCCAAUUCCAUCGCCCUCUUCGAUCGAAUCCUGCGCCGAUGUAGUCUCCUCCGGCCGGAUGCUCACGGCGGGGUCACGAACAAGCCGGCGGCGGCACCGUCUUGGUGGACGGCAGGCAAGCACUCGACGAUGCACGAAGUUGGGAUCAACGCAAUAGAAGAGGUAAAUAAACUUCAAUUGCAUUUGAGUUGGAACGGUUCUACUUAUUAUGUGCUGUGUCCAGAGCUGAUCAGGAUGACAGGGGGGACAUGGCAAACAUUUCCUAGAGCACCAAAGCAGAUCUGUCAUGUGAAGAAGAGUGACAAUGCUUAUUUCUUUUUGGUCAGAUAGCACUGUUCUUGUGAUAGACAAAUCCAUGCUGCUUCCUUCUUCAAUGCAGUGAUGACAGGUGCUAGUAAUUAGACUAUGGGGUUACACAGGGCAAUGCACCUCGACAAAUUAGACUCCAGAUUUCUAGUUCUCUUGGGUGCUUUAGGUCGUCAGCUUUUGUUGUUUAAGUUUAUUGCAAUCCAAUCAAUCACCUCUUCAUAAUCUCAUACUGUCUGUCUGACCAACUGGAUUAUACUGCAUUAAUUAUAUUCUAAGCUUCACAAGGAAGGCUGUUCAGGAAUCA